rnacentral:rRNA from 1 species
UACGUAGGGUGCGAGCGUUGUCCGGAAUUAUUGGGCGUAAAGGGCUCGUAGGCGGUUUGUCGCGUCGAAUGUGAAAACCCGGGGCUCAACCCCGGGCCUGCAUUCGAUACGGGCAGACUAGAGUUCGGUAGGGGAGUCUGGAAUUCCUGGUGUAGCGGUGAAAUGCGCAGAUAUCAGGAGGAACACCGGUGGCGAAGGCGGGUCUCUGGGCCGUAACUGACGCUGAGGAGCGAAAGCGUGGGGAGCGAACAGG